rnacentral:rRNA from 1 species
UACGUAGGGGGCAAGCGUUGUCCGGAUUCAUUGGGCGUAAAGAGCGUGUAGGCGGCCUGGAAGGUCAGCUGUGAAAACUCGAGGCUCAACCUCGAGACGUCGGUUGAAACCACCUGGCUAGAGUCCGGAAGAGGAGUGUGGAAUUCCCGGUGUAGCGGUGGAAUGCGCAGAUAUCGGGGAGGAACACCCGUGGCUAAGGCGGCUCUCUAGUACGGUACUGACGCUGAGACGCGAAAGCGUGGGGAGCGAACAGG